rnacentral:lncRNA from 1 species
CUUCAGGGAAGUUUUCUUCCAUCUCUGCUCUAUGCCCGCCCUUUCUUGCCCAGUCAUUAUUCUCAAUUAGCUAUUGCUAUGGACAGUCAUUAUCUAUUGAACCCAUUUAGAAACUUAGCCACAGACUUUAUUAACUCCAAGCUUUCAAAGAUACUGACUUUGCUGGCAAGAAGCAUAACCUUUGAAUAAACAAGCCAGGUUUGCUCUAGUGUGCAGAUGCCCAGUAUGAUUCAGUACAUUAUCAAAUUGAAAACCAAGAUCCUUCAGAAGAGUUCCAGGAAAAUUGUUUGUUUAACUCAACAAGAGGACAGAACCCUCAGUAAAAUAAACAUUUGAUCUUCAGGCAGAGAAAAGAAUGCCUUAAGAGGAAAUGACCAGGGAAAUGGGGAAUAAGGAGUGACCGAGAUCACGAGAAUGAAGUAUGUUCAAAAGGAGGAGGUCACUACAGUGUUAAAUGUUGCUGAGCUUUCGAGUAAGUUAAGUUCAAUAAGGUUUCCAUUUGCUUUGCUUUAAAAAAAAAAAAUGUCCGUAGACGACUUUAAAAGAAGAAGCAUCAGUGGCGUGAGGGGCCUGGAGUCUGGCUUUCUGUAUGAUGACAAACGUCUUAUAUAAUUUUCCAUAGUUAAGAAGCUUGCCUAUGGAGGGGAGCAUAAAGGAUUUGAAUGAGAAGAAAGUUUUUCAAUUUCUUUAUCCCUCUGUUUCUAAUAUAUUGUAUGUUCUUUUAUUUAUGGGUUCACUGAUACAGGAAUGGCUUAGUUUGUACUGGCAAAUAAGAACUAUAUAUAUAGUUGGCAUAGUUCUAGUUUUGACAUUUCACACUAGGUACCCAAUGACUAAGAACAGAGAAGUUUUUAUAUUAACUUUGUGUUGACGUCAUAGAAUAAAAUAAUCAAAAUUUCUUUUUUUACUGUACUAUAUUCAGCAAGUCUAGUCAUUGGAAUUUGCCCCCACAUACCUUCAGGCAAUGAAGAGAUUCUUUAAUAGAUUUCCAUAUUAAAGGUAAUAGAUAUUUUAUGAUCUUCAGAAAAUAAAAUGAGAGAAUAAACAUGUUAGCAAUAAAAAUUAAUGGUUUUAAUUAUAAUUUUUCAGUUUUUAAAAAUAGGUGUUGGAAGAAAUUUUAGUAAAUUCUAUUAAAUAAUGUACCAUGUCUCACCUUUAUAGUAACUUCCAUGAUCCUGGGUGUAGAAUUAUAUGAUGUAUGCUGCUUAAUGGAAAACUGUUGUUUUUUUUCUUCAGAGCAUGAAAUAGAUUUCAUCAAUAUGAAGAAAUACAUACAAAUCAAUUCUCUUGGUCUGUAAGCUACAACUAGAAUUAUGUGAAGUACUUUAGAAACUGCUUACUUUUUCAUACCACAAAUAAAAUACUGUGAGAACCAACU